rnacentral:rRNA from 1 species
UGAAUUGUUGUGAAGGGCGCACGGUGGAUGCCUUGGCAUGAUGAGCCGAUGAAGGACGUGUAAGGCUGCGUUAAGCCUCGGGGAGUUGCCAAUAGAGCGUUGAUCCGAGGAUGUCCGAAUGGGGAAACCCGGCCGUAGUUAUGUGCGGUCACCCGCCAGUGAAUUCAUAGCUGGUGUGGAGGGAACGCGGGGAAGUGAAACAUCUCAGUACCCGUAGGAGAAGAAAAUAAUAAUGAUUCUGCUAGUAGCGGCGAGCGAACGUGGAUUAUUGGCUAAACCAUAUGCGUGUGAUACCUGGCAGGGGUUGCGUGUGUGGUGUUGUGGGGUCUUGAUGUGCGGUGCUGCCACGACCGUGCCCCAUGCGCGUGUGUUAGCGGAAGUGGUUUGGAAUGGCCUGCCGUAGACGGUGAGAGUCCGGUACGUGAAAACAUGUGUGUGUGGGGUUGUUGAGUUGCCCCGAGUAGCAGCGGGCUCGUGGAAUCUGCUGUGAAUCUGCCGGGACCACCCGGUAAGCCUGAAUACUUAUUGUGACCGAUAGCGGAUAGUACCGUGAGGGAAUGGUGAAAAGUACCCCGGGAGGGGAGUGAAAUAGUACCUGAAACCGUGUGCUUACAAUCCGUCAGAGCCUCCUUGUGGGGUGAUGGCGUGCCUUUUGAAGAAUGAGCCUGCGAGUCAGCGGCAUGUCGCGAGGUUAACCCGAUUGGUGGGGUAGUCGUAGCGAAAGCGAAUACUAACGAGUGUGUUUGAGUGGCAUGUCCUGGACCCGAAGCGGGGUGAUCUACCCAUGGCCAGUGUGAAGCAGCAGUAAGAUGCUGUGGAGGCGCGAACCCACUUAGGUUGAAAACUGAGGGGAUGAGUUGUGGGUAGGGGUGAAAGGCCAAUCAAACUCCGUGAUAGCUGGUUCUCCCCGAAAUGCAUUUAGGUGCAGCGUCGUGUGUUUCUUGCCGGAGGUAGAGCUACUGGUUGGUUUAGCGGGACUAUCAUCUUAGCGACAUCAGCCAAACUCCGAAUGCCGGGAAGUCAGAGCACGGCAGUGAGACUGCGGGGGAUAAGCUUCGUAGUCGAGAGGGAAACAGCCCAGAUCGCCGGCUAAGGCCCCUAAGAGUGUACUAAGUGGAAAAGGAUGUGGGAUCGCGAAGACAGCCAGGAGGUUGGCUUAGAAGCAGCCAUCCUUGAAAGAGUGCGUAAUAGCUCACUGGUCGAGUGGUUCUGCGCCGACAAUGUAGUGGGGCUCAAGUACACCGCCGAAGCCGCGGAACUCAACUUUUGUUGGGUUGGUAGGGGAGCGUCGUGUAGCCAGUGAAGGUGCGGGGUAACCCAGUGCUGGAGGCUAUGCGAGUGAGAAUGCAGGCAUGAGUAGCGAAUGAUGAGUGAGAAACUCAUCCGCCGGAUGACUAAGGGUUCCUGGGUCAAGCUAAUCUUCCCAGGGUGAGUCGGGACCUAAGGCGAGGCCGACAGGCGUAGUCGAUGGAUAACGGGUUGAUAUUCCCGUACCCGUGUAUGUGCGACCAAUGGUGAAUCAGUGAUACUAACCGCCCAAAAGCAUGCGUUUAUCAUCUUCGGAUGGUGUUUGUGUGUGGCUGCGUGGGACCUGAACUGGUAGUAGCCAAGCGAUGGGGUGACGCAGGAAGGUAGCCAAGCCACUUACUGGAUUGUGGUGUAAGCGUGUGGCCCGCAGAAUUUGGUAAAUCCGUUCUG